rnacentral:lncRNA from 1 species
GUAAAAUGCAUUUAUUUUGGCUUUUCAAGAAAUUAUGACAUAUACAAGGAACAUUUGAAUGGAAUUUUUAAGCCACUCGUUAAUAUAUAUUGAAAAGCAAAAAUAAUCAUUGAUGAAAGAUUUAAGCAAAACAUUACAGGUGAGCGUUUCAAGCUCUUAGAAGCCUCUUGUUUCCCCCUACUAUCACAUUUCUAUGUACCGAUGUACAGAGUUCUCCACGAAAUCGGGGUUAUAUCCAUUAUUUUAAAAGUUCACAUCAUACUGAACCUAUUUACUAAGUUUAACGUUGAUUUGACCACACUUGCAUAGUAUACAAACUACCUUAACUAGGGAACCACUAAUGACAGGACGAUUGCCCGGAUAGUGACAGGACGGUUGACCGGACGACAUAUAAAUAGUCAUAACUUUUUUGUUAUCCGAUAGAUUUGUUUAAUAUUUGUAAACCUGAAAGAUAUUAAACUAUAUUUUAUGAAUAUAAAAAAAAAGAGGAAAAAUAAUUAUUUUUGAGCAAAAAAAGUUGACCGGACGGUAUUCACACUCGCCAAUAUACGCUAAAUAUAUAUUCAACUGGUUGACGACAAGUGUUAAUAUCUCUUUUGUUUUACAAUAUUUGUCCAUGAAACUCAGGAAUCUGUGAGAUUUAUAAAUAUAUUAUACGAAAAUAUAAACUUGAUUGCAAAAAAACGUGUUUUUCUCAAAAAAAAGUUGACCGGACGGUAUUCACCCUCGCCGAUAUACGCUAUAUAUAUAUUGAAAUGGUCGACGACAAGUGUUAAUAUCUCUUUUGUUUUACAAUAUUUGUCCAUGAAAAUCAGGAACCUGUGAGAUUGAAUAGUAUAUUACACGAAAAUAUAAACUUUAAAGUAAAAAAGAAAAAAAAUCUGCAAAAAAAGUUGACCGGACGGUAUUCACCCUCGCCGAUGUACGCGUUGAUUAUAUUGAACUGAGCGACAAAAAAUGUAAAUAUUUUUUUUGUAAACAAUAUUUUUUCAUAAAACUGAGAUAUGUGCGAGAUAAAUAAAUAUAUGAUAUGAAAAUAUAAACUCUAUGAUAAAAAAAUUAUUUUUCUUAAAAAAAAAGUUGACCGGACAGCUAACAUUCGCC